AGAGGAUUUAAAAGUGCUUGUGCAUUGGGGCUUUCCUUCUCCUGGUCCCCUGAGAUCUCCAUGUAUAGAUACCUGGGCAAGCUUCUUAGGGGAAGAAACCAGAAAUGAGCCACCCCAGCUGAAGCCCUCUAGACCAACUGGCUCCCAAGUGAUCUUCCAGCCAGCUGCCUGAGUGACCCUAGAGAAGACCAGGAGAACUAUCCAGCUGACCCAAGCCCAAAAUUGCUGACUCACAGAAUUGUGAACAAAUAAAGUCGAUGCUGUUUUAAGUCAUUAUGUUUUGGAGGGGGGUGGUUUGUUAUGCAGCAGUAAAUAACUGAUUCAGAGGCUUAGAAUUAGAAUUGUAGAGUCUUAGUCACAGAUUCCAUAUACCCCUACAAGCAUGUAUCUUGGUUCCUGGCAGCAGAGACUGGAAUCUUUGAUGUAGCAACUGAGGACUAGAAGGGUCCUGACACCUCUAACCAGUGAGACCCACUCCUUUUCUUUAUCGACCGACGGGGAGACCAGUUGACCCACUCACCCUCUUACAACCUGGAGCCUUCCCUCCACCCACAAGCGUUCCUGGAUCUGUCCACGGUGCUGAAUGUCUUUAUGCUUCUUGCCACUGCCUGCCUCAGAAUGGCUACUUCUAGAAGGGGAAGUUAGCCAUCACGGCAAGAGUACCCUUAUGGAGAGGCUUGUGUAAAAACUUUGACCAACUGCCAGCAAAAAAUGGUUGCCUGACAACAACCACAGAGUGAGCCUGGAAGUGGAUCCCCGUUAAGCCUUCUGAUGACUGCAGCCCUGGCUGACACUUGACUGCAACCUCAUGAGAGAUCCUGAGCCACAAUCUCACAGUCCACUUCUGGGUUCUCAAUCCUCAGAAAUUGUGUGAGAUAAUAAACAUGUGUUAUUUUAA